rnacentral:rRNA from 1 species
AUUGAACGCUGGCGGCAGGCCUAACACAUGCAAGUCGAGCGGAGCGGCGGACGGGCGAGUAAUGCCUAGGAAUCUGCCUGGUCGUGGGGGAUAACGUCCGGAAACGGGCGCUAAUACCGCAUACUAUCAGAUGAGCCUAGGUCGGAUUCGCUGGUUGGUGGGGUAAAGGCCAACCAGGGCGCCGACCCGUAACUGGUCUGAGAGGAUGAUGAGUCACACUGGAACUGAGACACGGUCCAAACUCCUACGGGAGUCAGCAGUGGGGAAUAUUGGACAAUGGGCGAAAGCCUGAUCCAGCCAGGCGGCGUAUGUGAAGAAGGUCUUCGGAUUGUAAAGCACUUUAAGUUGGGAGACGUUACCAACAGAAUAAGCACCGGCUAACUUCGUGCCAGCAGCCGCGGUAAUUC